ACGGCUCAGUAACACGUGGAUAACCUGCCCUUGGGUCCGGCAUAACCCCGGGAAACUGGGGAUAAUUCCGGAUAACGCACAUAUGCUGGAAUACUUUAUGCGUAAAAUGGAUUCGUCUGCCCAAGGAUGGGUCUGCGGCCUAUCAGGUAGUAGUGGGUGUAAUGUACCUACUAGCCUACAACGGGUACGGGUUGUGAGAGCAAGAGCCCGGAGAUGGAUUCUGAGACAUGAAUCCAGGCCCUACGGGGCGCAGCAGGCGCGAAAACUUUACAAUGCGGGAAACCGUGAUAAGGGGACACCGAGUGCUAGCAUCAUAUGCUGGCUGUCCAGGUGUGUAAAAUACACCUGUUAGCAAGGGCCGGGCAAGACCGGUGCCAGCCGCCGCGGUAACACCGGCGGCCCGAGUGGUGAUCGUGAUUAUUGGGUCUAAAGGGUCCGUAGCCGGUUUGGUCAGUCCUCCGGGAAAUCUGAUAGCUCAACUAUUAGGCUUUCGGGGGAUACUGCCAGACUUGGAACCGGGAGAGGUAAGAGGUACUACAGGGGUAGGAGUGAAAUCUUGUAAUCCCUGUGGGACCACCUGUGGCGAAGGCGUCUUACCAGAACGGGUUCGACGGUGAGGGACGAAAGCUGGGGGCACGAACCGGAUUAGAUACCCGGGUAGUCCCAGCCGUAAACGAUGC
rnacentral:rRNA from 1 species